UAAAAUGAAAAACUGUUUAGAAGCUUCAGCAUGUUUCCCAAAACCUUUGCAGCUUAGAUAAUCUGCUUUGCACACAGACUGAUGCUAACACUGUCAGGACUAUAGUAACUCCUCUCCCUACAUAUUUUGCAUUUAUUAGUUACCCAAUAAUACAGAAAUAGCUCUUAAAGAAAGGACCAUAUCCAAAACCCAACUGGUCAUGGUUCUGGAAAUCCUGCUCUAGAUGAGCCUGCUUGAGGAGGAGACUAGACCAGAUCAUCCUAAAAGGUCCCUUGAAACCUCAACAGCUCUGUGACCAGAACAUGCGAUUCUUCUCUUCUAGAACGUACUUCUCUUCUGGAGAACAUACUAGAACUAGAACUCCAGACUAAAGGGCCAAGUAGUGUGAACCUAACACAGCAGACCACAAAGUCACUGAAAUGCAUUCAGUGUGAAGUUUUUAUAAGGACUCUACAGAUACAGAAGUGACUUUUCACUAAUUUGGGGAGAGUGACUUAAUUUCCUGGCUAAUGUACAUGUUUUGGACCUGUAGUCAACGAGCCAGAAUGGACUGUAAAGGAGAGGAAUCAGAAUAAAGAAAAUGUUUUGAACAAAGAGACACUCAUGUCCUGGGUCACACCUUCUUUCUGCACAUACAAAUCCUGUGCCAGCUGGGAAACCUCUCAACAGGAGCAAGCACACACCACUGGAACAGCUCAUUGACAGUCAGUUUGACACAUCAUGAACAUGCAGCAAACUCUAAAUGUGCUUCUGAUGGACGAAGAACUUUGCCACUAUGUUCACCAUGAGAGCACCUUGAGAAGUCUGACAAGCUGCUUUUUGGCUUUCGUCCUAUUGACUACUGACCUACAGAUUAGCACCCCCUCACAGCCCUGCAAAAGAAAAGAACCACAGGCUCCAAAAAUCCACCAUCUUCUGUGGCUGAGUGACACACGAGCACAGCAUUGGUGGCUUAUAAGUGUCAUUCAACCUUUGAAGAAGCCACGUGUAUUUCUUACAUCUUCUACCCAGUCUGUAACUCAGCCACAUGUCCAUCAUACCCUUGUGAAAGGUCCUAUCAAGCAUGGUGUCCCCAGAUUACUUUUUGUCCUUUAUACUUCAAAACAAGCUUAACAGUUAGUUAAUCGCUCCUUCUGCAACAGCUACAGCAGAAUAAGUGACAUGAUUGUGACAAAUUUGAAUUCAAAAAGAAGUUCAUGGAAGAAUUUGAAGUUAAGCAAGGACAGCAAACAUUUAGGCUGAAUGUUAAACUGUUCAUGCAAAGUGCCAAAUACAUUCAGUUAUCUUUUGCUAAAAUAUAACAAUCAGCUUUUUUCUUUACCCCAUUGGUAUGGUGUUCUCUAGGUUUCCUAAAUUCAUCUAUGCCUUGCUUUCUGCUCAAUGGCAUGAAAUAUUUGAGCAAGAAAGCUUAACUUUCUGAGGUCUGUGUUGAUUGCUGGAGGACACCUGUGCAGAA